rnacentral:rRNA from 1 species
AUUGAACGCUGGCGGCAUGCCUUACACAUGCAAGUCGAACGCGAAAGAGGGGCAACCCUUGAGUAGAGUGGCGAACGGGUGAGUAACGCAUCGGAACGUAUCCAGUAAUGGGGGAUAACCCAUCGAAAGAUGGGCUAAUACCGCAUACGCCCCGAGGGGGAAAGUGGGGGAUCCGCAAGGACCUCACGCUAUUGGAGCGGACGAUGUCCGAUUAGCUAGUUGGCGGGGUAAGAGCCCACCAAGGCGACGAUCGGUAGCUGGUCUGAGAGGAUGAUCAGCCACACUGGGACUGAGACACGGCCCAGACUCCUACGGGAGGCAGCAGUGGGGAAUUUUGGACAAUGGGGGCAACCCUGAUCCAGCCAUGCCGCGUGAGUGAAGAAGGCCUUCGGGUUGUAAAGCUCUUUCGGCCGGAACGAAAUCGCAUCCUCUAAUACGGGGUGUGGAUGACGGUACCGGAAGAAGAAGCACCGGCUAACUACGUGCCAGCAGCCGCGGUAACAC